rnacentral:rRNA from 1 species
GACGAACGCUAGCGGCGUGCUUAACACAUGCAAGUCGACCGGUAAGGCCCUUCGGGGUACACGAGUGGCGAACGGGUGAGUAACACGUGGGUGAUCUGCCCUGCACUUCGGGAUAAGCCUGGGAAACUGGGUCUAAUACCGGAUAGGACCCUGUGAUGCAGUGCCUGGGGUGGAAAGCUUUUGCGGUGUGGGAUGGGCCCGCGGCCUAUCAGCUUGUUGGUGGGGUGAUGGCCUACCAAGGCGACGACGGGUAGCCGGCCUGAGAGGGUGACCGGCCACACUGGGACUGAGAUACGGCCCAGACUCCUACGGGAGGCAGCAGUGGGGAAUAUUGCACAAUGGGCGCAAGCCUGAUGCAGCGACGCCGCGUGAGGGAUGACGGCCUUCGGGUUGUAAACCUCUCUCAGCACCGACGAAGCGCAAGUGACGGUAGGUGCAGAAGAAGGACCGGCCAACUACGUGCCAGCCGCCGCCGUAACAC